CUCUCUGUGACUCCUACGGGAGGCAGCAGUGGGGAAUAUUGCACAAUGGGCGCAAGCCUGAUGCAGCCAUGCCGCGUGUGUGAAGAAGGCCUUCGGGUUGUAAAGCACUUUCAGUUGUGAGGAAGGUGGUGUCGUUAAUAGCGGCAUCAUUUGACGUUAGCAACAGAAGAAGCACCGGCUAACUCCGUGCCAGCAGCCGCGGUAAUACGGAGGGUGCGAGCGUUAAUCGGAAUUACUGGGCGUAAAGCGCAUGCAGGUGGUUUGUUAAGUCAGAUGUGAAAGCCCGGGGCUCAACCUCGGAACUGCAUUUGAAACUGGCAGACUAGAGUACUGUAGAGGGGGUAGAAUUUCAGGUGUAGCGGUGAAAUGCGUAGAGAUCUGAAGGAAUACCGGUGGCGAAGGCGGCCCCCUGGACAGAUACUGACACUCAGAUGCGAAAGCGUGGGGAGCAAACAGGAUUAGAUACCCUGGUAG
rnacentral:rRNA from 1 species